rnacentral:rRNA from 1 species
AUUGAACGCUGGCGGCAGGCCUAACACAUGCAAGUCGAGCGGAUGAAGGGAGCUUGCUCCUGGAUUCAGCGGCGGACGGGCGAGUAAUGCCUAGGAAUCUGCCUGGUAGUGGGGGAUAACGUCCGGAAACGGGCGCUAAUACCGCAUACGUCCUGAGGGAGAAAGUGGGGGAUUUUCGGACCUCACGCUAUCAGAUGAGCCUAGGUCGGAUUAGCUAGUUGGUGGGGUAAAGGCCUACCAAGGCGACGAUCCGUAACUGGUCUGAGAGGAUGAUCAGUCACACUGGAACUGAGACACGGUCCAGACUCCUACGGGAGGCAGCAGUGGGGAAUAUUGGACAAUGGGCGAAAGCCUGAUCCAGCCAUGCCGCGUGUGUGAAGAAGGUCUUCGGAUUGUAAAGCACUUUAAGUUGGGAGGAAGGGCAGUAAGUUAAUACCUUGCUGUUUUGACGUUACCAACAGAAUAAGCACCGGCUAACUUCGUG